GGGACAUACACAUAGACAGACAGAAGACAGACUGCACAUACACAGACUGCAGACGCAGAAACAGAUUGCAGACAGACUGUGAACUCAGAGACAAACAGCCUGUGGAAGCAGUAUCUGACAGACCAUGGACCAAUUGAUAGCCAAACUGUAAACACACAUACAGACUGCGGACACAGACAGACUGCGGACACAGACUGCAGUGAAGUGGAAGACUCAGACUGUGGAAGUCAUACUGUUGACGCAGAGACAG